CACAAAGAUAAGCCCUUUUGCUGUGCAGCAAGCUAACUGGUCUUCUGAAGUCUCAUUUAAGCACGGACUUUUAUUUUCAAAUUUUGCAAUACCCUCUCUCAUUAACAGCAAGAAGGCAGUCAACAGAAGCCAGGAAGAGGGCUAUCCCAAGAACCUGACCAUACUGACACCUUGAUCUAGGACUCCGUAGCCUCCAGAACUGUGAGAAAUAAGUGUCUGGUCUUUAAGCCACCCAGUCUAUUGUAUGUUAUUAUAGCAGCUCGAGCUAAGACAAACAGGGAAGAGGGCCUUUAGCUUUUUACAAAGUUGAUUCAUCUACCACAGAGGGUUAUUUUACAGAUGAAGAAAAUGAGCCUGAGAAACAAGACGUGUCGUGUCCAAAACCGUAGGAUUUAGUGAUGAACUUAAAUGAACAUCUACUGCUUUUCAGGUUAAUAGACUGUGACAGUUUCUUGGAAUUUUUCUGAACACCCUAAAUUCUGAGGUCAGAAUGGUAUUCUGAGCUUAGAGAAGUCUGGCUGUGUGGCAACAGCUAUUGUCAUUGCUCCCAGUGCAACAUUUAUAGGAUAUGGAGGCUGGAUUAUCCAAGGUGAUGGUUUAAAAUGCC
rnacentral:lncRNA from 10 species